UGUGAAUCUGAGGGUCCUGGUUCUUCACUGAAUUUUGGUGGAGGAUCUUUAGACCGGUCACUCUUCAUAGACAGACAGCUGGAGAUAACAGACUUUGUUCUGUCCUCCUCUGGGGGUCCUGGUUCUUCACUGAAGACCGGUGGAGGAUCUUUAGACCGGUCACUCUUCAUAGACAGACAGCUGGAGAUAACAGACUUUGUUCUGUCCUCCUCUGGGGGUCCUGGUUCUUUACUGAAGACCAGGUGGAGGAUCUUUAGACCGGUCACUCUUCAUAGACAGACAGUCAAACAUAUCAGACUCUGCUCUGCCCUCCUCUUCCUCGACACAAACACUCAUCUUCUCCAUCUUCUGUUGUGCAAAUUUAUGGAGGCUGAAACCGAGUUAUACAACCUGAGGACAAAGAAGACAAACAGGUGAGACACAAACAGGAAGAGAGAGUUCAGAAAUAAAAGAGGAAUCAGAAAGGAAGUACAGAGUCUGAAAACAGC